GGUUAAGCGACUAAGCGUACACGGUGGAUGCCCUGGCAGUCAGAGGCGAUGAAGGACGUGCUAAUCUGCGAUAAGCGUCGGUAAGGUGAUAUGAACCGUUAUAACCGGCGAUUUCCGAAUGGGGAAACCCAGUGUGAUUCGACACACUAUCAUUAACUGAAUCCAUAGGUUAAUGAGGCGAACCGGGGGAACUGAAACAUCUAAGUACCCCGAGGAAAAGAAAUCAACCGAGAUUCCCCCAGUAGCGGCGAGCGAACGGGGAGCAGCCCAGAGCCUGAAUCAGUGUGUGUGUUAGUGGAAGCGUCUGGAAAGGCGCGCGAUACAGGGUGACAGCCCCGUACACAAAAAUGCACAUGCUGUGAGCUCGAUGAGUAGGGCGGGACACGUGGUAUCCUGUCUGAAUAUGGGGGGACCAUCCUCCAAGGCUAAAUACUCCUGACUGACCGAUAGUGAACCAGUACCGUGAGGGAAAGGCGAAAAGAACCCCGGCGAGGGGAGUGAAAAAGAACCUGAAACCGUGUACGUACAAGCAGUGGGAGCACGCUUAGGCGUGUGACUGCGUACCUUUUGUAUAAUGGGUCAGCGACUUAUAUUCUGUAGCAAGGUUAACCGAAUAGGGGAGCCGAAGGGAAACCGAGUCUUAACUGGGCGUUAAGUUGCAGGGUAUAGACCCGAAACCCGGUGAUCUAGCCAUGGGCAGGUUGAAGGUUGGGUAACACUAACUGGAGGACCGAACCGACUAAUGUUGAAAAAUUAGCGGAUGACUUGUGGCUGGGGGUGAAAGGCCAAUCAAACCGGGAGAUAGCUGGUUCUCCCCGAAAGCUAUUUAGGUAGCGCCUCGUGAAUUCAUCUCCGGGGGUAGAGCACUGUUUCGGCAAGGGGGUCAUCCCGACUUACCAACCCGAUGCAAACUGCGAAUACCGGAGAAUGUUAUCACGGGAGACACACGGCGGGUGCUAACGUCCGUCGUGAAGAGGGAAACAACCCAGACCGCCAGCUAAGGUCCCAAAGUCAUGGUUAAGUGGGAAACGAUGUGGGAAGGCCCAGACAGCCAGGAUGUUGGCUUAGAAGCAGCCAUCAUUUAAAGAAAGCGUAAUAGCUCACUGGUCGAGUCGGCCUGCGCGGAAGAUGUAACGGGGCUAAACCAUGCACCGAAGCUGCGGCAGCGACGCUUAUGCGUUGUUGGGUAGGGGAGCGUUCUGUAAGCCUGCGAAGGUGUGCUGUGAGGCAUGCUGGAGGUAUCAGAAGUGCGAAUGCUGACAUAAGUAACGAUAAAGCGGGUGAAAAGCCCGCUCGCCGGAAGACCAAGGGUUCCUGUCCAACGUUAAUCGGGGCAGGGUGAGUCGACCCCUAAGGCGAGGCCGAAAGGCGUAGUCGAUGGGAAACAGGUUAAUAUUCCUGUACUUGGUGUUACUGCGAAGGGGGGACGGAGAAGGCUAUGUUGGCCGGGCGACGGUUGUCCCGGUUUAAGCGUGUAGGCUGGUUUUCCAGGCAAAUCCGGAAAAUCAAGGCUGAGGCGUGAUGACGAGGCACUACGGUGCUGAAGCAACAAAUGCCCUGCUUCCAGGAAAAGCCUCUAAGCAUCAGGUAACAUCAAAUCGUACCCCAAACCGACACAGGUGGUCAGGUAGAGAAUACCAAGGCGCUUGAGAGAACUCGGGUGAAGGAACUAGGCAAAAUGGUGCCGUAACUUCGGGAGAAGGCACGCUGAUAUGUAGGUGAAGUCCCUCGCGGAUGGAGCUGAAAUCAGUCGAAGAUACCAGCUGGCUGCAACUGUUUAUUAAAAACACAGCACUGUGCAAACACGAAAGUGGACGUAUACGGUGUGACGCCUGCCCGGUGCCGGAAGGUUAAUUGAUGGGGUUAGCGGUAACGCGAAGCUCUUGAUCGAAGCCCCGGUAAACGGCGGCCGUAACUAUAACGGUCCUAAGGUAGCGAAAUUCCUUGUCGGGUAAGUUCCGACCUGCACGAAUGGCGUAAUGAUGGCCAGGCUGUCUCCACCCGAGACUCAGUGAAAUUGAACUCGCUGUGAAGAUGCAGUGUACCCGCGGCAAGACGGAAAGACCCCGUGAACCUUUACUAUAGCUUGACACUGAACAUUGAGCCUUGAUGUGUAGGAUAGGUGGGAGGCUUUGAAGUGUGGACGCCAGUCUGCAUGGAGCCGACCUUGAAAUACCACCCUUUAAUGUUUGAUGUUCUAACGUUGACCCGUGAUCCGGGUUGCGGACAGUGUCUGGUGGGUAGUUUGACUGGGGCGGUCUCCUCCUAAAGAGUAACGGAGGAGCACGAAGGUUGGCUAAUCCUGGUCGGACAUCAGGAGGUUAGUGCAAUGGCAUAAGCCAGCUUGACUGCGAGCGUGACGGCGCGAGCAGGUGCGAAAGCAGGUCAUAGUGAUCCGGUGGUUCUGAAUGGAAGGGCCAUCGCUCAACGGAUAAAAGGUACUCCGGGGAUAACAGGCUGAUACCGCCCAAGAGUUCAUAUCGACGGCGGUGUUUGGCACCUCGAUGUCGGCUCAUCACAUCCUGGGGCUGAAGUAGGUCCCAAGGGUAUGGCUGUUCGCCAUUUAAAGUGGUACGCGAGCUGGGUUUAGAACGUCGUGAGACAGUUCGGUCCCUAUCUGCCGUGGGCGCUGGAGAACUGAGGGGGGCUGCUCCUAGUACGAGAGGACCGGAGUGGACGCAUCACUGGUGUUCGGGUUGUCAUGCCAAUGGCACUGCCCGGUAGCUAAAUGCGGAAGAGAUAAGUGCUGAAAGCAUCUAAGCACGAAACUUGCCCCGAGAUGAGUUCUCCCUGACCCUUUAAGGGUCCUGAAGGAACGUUGAAGACGACGACGUUGAUAGGCCGGGUGUGUAAGCGCAGCGAUGCGUUGAGCUAACCGGUACUAAUGAACCGUGAGGCUUAACCUU
rnacentral:rRNA from 1 species